GGCGGUGUGCCUAAUACAUGCAAGUCGAACGCGUUGGCCCAAUUGAUUGAUGGUGCUUGCACCUGAUUGAUUUUGGUCGCCAACGAGUGGCGGACGGGUGAGUAACACGUAGGUAACCUGCCCAGAAGCGGGGGACAACAUUUGGAAACAGAUGCUAAUACCGCAUAACAGCGUUGUUCGCAUGAACAACGCUUAAAAGAUGGCUUUCGCUAUCACUUCUGGAUGGACCUGCGGUGCAUUAGCUUGUUGGUGGGGUAACGGCCUACCAAGGGGAUGAUGCAUAGCCGAGUUGAGAGACUGAUCGGCCACAAUGGGACUGAGACACGGCCCAUACUCCUACGGGAGGCAGCAGUAGGGAAUCUUCCACAAUGGGCGCAAGCCUGAUGGAGCAACACCGCGUGAGUGAAGAAGGGUUUCGGCUCGUAAAGCUCUGUUGUUAAAGAAGAACACGUAUGAGAGUAACUGUUCAUACGUUGACGGUAUUUAACCAGAAAGUCACGGCUAACUACGUGCCAGCAGCCGCGGUAAUACGUAGGUGGCAAGCGUUAUCCGGAUUUAUUGGGCGUAAAGAGAGUGCAGGCGGUUUUCUAAGUCUGAUGUGAAAGCCUUCGGCUUAACCGGAGAAGUGCAUCGGAAACUGGAUAACUUGAGUGCAGAAGAGGGUAGUGGAACUCCAUGUGUAGCGGUGGAAUGCGUAGAUAUAUGGAAGAACACCAGUGGCGAAGGCGGCUACCUGGUCUGCAACUGACGCUGAGACUCGAAAGCAUGGGUAGCGAACAGGAUUAGAUACCCUGGUAGUCCAUGCCGUAAACGAUGAGUGCUAGGUGUUGGAGGGUUUCCGCCCUUCAGUGCCGGAGCUAACGCAUUAAGCACUCCGCCUGGGGAGUACGACCGCAAGGUUGAAACUCAAAGGAAUUGACGGGGGCCCGCACAAGCGGUGGAGCAUGUGGUUUAAUUCGAAGCUACGCGAAGAACCUUACCAGGUCUUGACAUCUUGCGCCAACCCUAGAGAUAGGGCGUUUCCUUCGGGAACGCAAUGACAGGUGGUGCAUGGUCGUCGUCAGCUCGUGUCGUGAGAUGUUGGGUUAAGUCCCGCAACGAGCGCAACCCUUGUUACUAGUUGCCAGCAUUAAGUUGGGCACUCUAGUGAGACUGCCGGUGACAAACCGGAGGAAGGUGGGGACGACGUCAGAUCAUCAUGCCCCUUAUGACCUGGGCUACACACGUGCUACAAUGGACGGUACAACGAGUCGCGAACUCGCGAGGGCAAGCAAAUCUCUUAAAACCGUUCUCAGUUCGGACUGCAGGCUGCAACUCGCCUGCACGAAGUCGGAAUCGCUAGUAAUCGCGGAUCAGCAUGCCGCGGUGAAUACGUUCCCGGGCCUUGUACACACCGCCCGUCACACCAUGAGAGUUUGUAACACCCAAAGUCGGUGGGGUAACCUUUUAGGAGCCAGCCGCCUAAGGUGGGACAGAUGAUUAGGGUGAAGUCCUAAAAAGG
rnacentral:rRNA from 2 species